GUUUCACUUGCUCAUAGGAUACGGCGUGUGGAGACCUGGCUCUGGGUCCUUCAGCCGGAGUGCCUUCUGCGAAAUGGUGGCGAAGGCACCUUAGUUGACACCUCAGCGGACUGGACGUGUGCAGAAGCGCUGCGGAACAGCGCCUCAAUUCCAAAUUGCGGUGAUGGGCAUGCGUAAAGAUGCACGGCGCACUGGGACGGGGUGUGAGCAGUGCGCAUGCGUCUGCCUCUGAGCACUCUGCCCCCUCCUCCCUGAGGAGAACCCUGAACAAUGGCCGCUGCCCACAACCUGAUGCUAAGUUGUAAGACACUUGGUCCUUAAUGUAAGAGCUCUAGCUGGUGCCUCCUUCGUUCUUUGAUCAACAAAUGAAACUCUCCUUUGCUUGGAAACUCAACGCCACCCUGUUCUAUUGGUGCAAGUGACGGCAGGGCAGGCCGAAGAACCCUUGUUGGAGAGAGACUCUGGUCCCUAACAGGAAGAAGCAACUGCAAAUAGUAGAAGGAGGCGAAGUCUCAAAGAGGGCUGUUCUGUACCCUUGGCGUUAAUCCCUGGAGUGAUUAUGACCCCCUGGAGUUUGAGAAAAUUACAAGAACUCUCCCAGCAAUGCUUAUAAACCCAUUGAGACUACGCUUAAACUUUAGUGGUGAGGAUUGAAGUAAGUUUGGGUAAAGAUUUUAGCUAUAUAAUUGAGAGGAAACUCUAAUACUGCGCUUUCAGACAUUUACUUACUAAAAUUGUGACAGACAUUAUUAACUGACAUUUAAUGUGAACAGUUCUGGGCACAUCCAGACUCAACCUCUUUUUUUCCGUCAACACUUUGCUGACAGGUUUAAUGGACACCUUUGUAAAUUAUUUUAACUGGUAUUAACGAUACCAACCCUUAAGCCCUCUCAAACCUUAUCCCACAGAUUGACUUCUAAUGGAUUAACUGAAAUCAGCAGACAAGAGCUGCCAAAGCAUGAGCAUUUCUUUACAUUUCAGUUUUGGCUUUAUGCUAAGAUGUCAGUGUUUACUUUAAAACUAAAUCCAAUCUCUGCAAAAUAUUUUCAGUUCAUGUGCCAAUAACGUUGUCUCAGCUGUGGCCCAGGUAAUUAUAAGUAAUGGAAAUCAGCAAUGAUAAACUUACUUUAUAAUAAUCUCAGAGACAUGAGCAGUACGUGGAACACAUGCGUUUUCAAUCCAUUAUUGAAAACAUCUGAUACAUCUGUGAGACC